rnacentral:rRNA from 1 species
UGGGGAAUAUUGCACAAUGGAGGAAACUCUGAUGCAGCGACGCCGCGUGAGCGAAGAAGUAUUUCGGUAUGUAAAGCUCUGUCAGCAGGGAAGAUAAUGACGGUACCUGACCAAGAAGCCCCGGCUAACUACGUGCCAGCAGCCGCGGUAAUACGUAGGGGGCAAGCGUUAUCCGGAUUUACUGGGUGUAAAGGGAGUGUAGGUGGCUGCGCAAGUCAGGAGUGAAAGCCCGGGGCUCAACCCCGGGACUGCUCUUGAAACUGCGCGGCUUGAGUGCAGGAGGGGCAGGCGGAAUUCCUAGUGUAGCGGUGAAAUGCGUAGAUAUUAGGAGGAACACCGGUGGCGAAGGCGGCCUGCUGGACUGUAACUGACACUGAGGCUCGAAAGCGUGGGGAGCAAACAGG